rnacentral:rRNA from 1 species
UAGUGAGUUUGAUCCUGGCUCAGGACGAACGCUGGCGGCGUGCUUAACACAUGCAAGUCGAGCGGAAAGGCCACUUCGGUGGUACUCGAGCGGCGAACGGGUGAGUAACACGUGAGUAAUCCUGCCCCCACUUGGGAUAGCCACCGGAAACGGUGAUUAAUACCGGAUAUGACGUGCCCUCGCAUGGGGGUGUAUGGAAAGUUUUUUCGGUCUGGGAUGGGGGUUGCGGCGCAUCAGCUCGUUGGUGAGGUAAAGGCUCACCAAGGCAACG